rfam:Sus scrofa chromosome 8.
CUCUAGUUAGUCUAAUGGCUGGAGCUCCUGGUUUUCAUCCAGGCUGCCCAGGUUCAAUUCCUGAGAAGAGA